rnacentral:piRNA from 1 species
AUGAAUCACAGGGCUCCCAAUGGAGGA